UACGUAGGGCGCAAGCGUUGUCCGGAAUUAUUGGGCGUAAAGAGCUCGUAGGUGGUUUGUUACGUCUGCUGUGAAAACCUAGGGCUUAACCCUGGGCCUGCAGUGGAUACGGGCAGACUAGAGGUAGGUAGGGGAGAAUGGAAUUCCCGGUGUAGCGGUGAAAUGCGCAGAUAUCGGGAGGAACACCGGUGGCGAAGGCGGGUCUCUGGGCCGUUACUGACGCUGAGGAGCGAAAGCGUGGGGAGCGAACAGG
rnacentral:rRNA from 1 species